CCUACGGGAGGCAGCAGUGAGGAAUAUUGGUCAAUGGCCGGAAGGCUGAACCAGCCAUGCCGCGUGAAGGUCAGUGCCCUAUGGGCGUUAAACUUCUUUUGUGCCGGAGCAAUAAUGGUCACGUGUGGCCAGACGAGAGUACCGUACGAAUAAGCAUCGGCUAACUCCGUGCCAGCAGCCGCGGUAAUACGGGGGAUGCAAGCGUUAUCCGGGUUUAUUGGGUUUAAAGGGUGCGUAGGCUGUGAGGUAAGUCAUCGGUGAAAUGCCCCCGCUCAACGGGGUGAAGUGCCAUUGAUACUGCCUUGCUUGAAUGCGGAUGCCGUGGGAGGAAUGUGUGGUGUAGCGGUGAAAUGCAUAGAUAUCACACAGAACACCGAUUGCGAAGGCAUCUCACGAAUCCGCGAUUGACGCUGAUGCACGAAAGCGUGGGUAUCAAACAGGAUUAGAUACCCCGGUAGUC
rnacentral:rRNA from 1 species